ACGCACCUCCUCUAGGCUCCAAGGUCCAAGCCACUGCCCCUGCACACUCCAGGAUUCAAGUCGCCGCCCUGCGCAUCCACCAAGCACGCCGCACCCCUCGCAUCUCUCAAUCCCACUUCCCACCUCCCCUUGCCUUAUCCACCAUUCCCACCGCCCCUUGUGCAUCCCCAAUCCCGACGGCCCCUGCGGAUCCUCCAAUCCCGCCACCCCUUCCCAUUAUCAUUUCUGCAGACCUCUCCUCCAUGGAUGACCUCGACGCCGAGGAAAAUCUAGCGGUUGCAUUGAAAUAUAGGAGCAUGUUGAGGCGAGGAUUAGACUUCAAUUCUUUCCUCGAAGAUGAAGACAUCGCGACAACAUCACUGGCACAGACACCUAUUUCGAAUGGAGAGCUUGCGGGCACAGGUGGGCGCGACAGCAUCGCGUGCGUGAGGCGAGGGGGACGCGGUGUCGUCGUCAGCCUUGGCCUAAACUACCACACAACUGGUGGACGUGGCGUCGCUAGGUUGUCGAGCGACGUCGUCGAGGACGACCGAAGUGCUGAGUGCAGCAUCGCCACCUCGUGGUGCGAAGGUGUUGAACACGAGUGUAGGGCUGGGCGCGGGCUCGUCAAUGCGACCCUCGGCAUGGCGAGCGCUUUGCGCGACCUCGGCUCAGCGUUCGUUGGGUGUGACAUAGGUAGCACGAGCGCAGUCACCAGCGUCACCAUGUCAGAGCGCUAUGCGUGGCAUCGGCUCGACGUUUACAGGGCGCGGCAAUGGCUCCACGAGCGCAGGGCAUGGCGUCGACACACCAGACCACGUCAAUGAUAUUAUUUCCGAUGCAGUGCCACAGUCCGGGAGAGGAUCCGAACGUGAAAGCGGACAACACAAGGUUCGCAUGGUUUUGUUUGUUCUGUUCGUAUUUGCAGACAUGGGAGCGCCUACAAGCCUCCACGAUCUAAUUUAAUUGAUGUGGAUGAUUGACAACCCAUCGAAGAGGAACAUCAUGCUCAACCACUAAUUGGAAACAAUGUAAAUUCCUUUAUUUUCUAUUUUCACAAUUACUAGGAAUAUAUCUAAUGACACCCACCUUUACCAUUUAAUCAUGUGCAGUAGUGCAUAUGUCACAACAGAACUAUGAUCCUUUUACAAUUGAAAAUUGAAAUACCAAAUUUGAUUUUAUCUUCAGUUGCUCUUGCAUUAUGCAUUAAUCGGAUACUGUAUGACUUCAAACUUCAGCAAUAUUCUAUUUCACAUUUAUUAGACUUCUAUGAUAGCCUAGGUCGUUCAUUAUGGUACAAAUUUAAAGACUUCAUGCAUCAUUGCCGAAAAUUCUAUGUAGAUCAUGGCUCUGCACUAUUUUGUGUUCAAAGUUCAUUGGCGAGUAUUGAAUGCUAUUUUUUCUUCAAUAAACUGUUAACGAGUGUUGACUAAAUUCUGUUGAAUAAACUGCUGACUUCUGUUGCCGAGUGUUUUUUUUCAAUAAAAUUCCUAAACUUUACUUGCAUACUUGUUUUAAAUUUUGAGUAUAAUGAACUUUAUGAUAAAGCAACUUGGACAUUUGAGAACACAAGAAUAUUUUGUGAAAUCUGUAUCGAAGAAAUCAAUGCUGGUAAUAGGCCGAAUGUCAUCAUGAAUACACGUGGUUACAAUAACAUAGCUGAAAAGUACAAGAUAGCAACAGGGUUGCACCAUUCAAGGCUUCAAUUGAAGAAUAAAUUGGACUUACUUAAAGGGUUAUAAGGUUUUUGGUUGCAAUUAAAUGGAAAUACUAGAUUAGGAGGGGAUUCUGGAUUAAAAACUGUGACUGCACCUCAGGAGUAUUGGAAUCGUGUUACUAAGGGCAAAUCUCACAGGAAAAACUAAAAAAGGACCGCCUCAUGAAGAUAUGCUACAACAAUUAUUUGGAGGCGUUGUUGUGGAUGGCUCCGGUGCCUGUGCUCCUGGUGAAGAGUUGGGUGCUCAUGAGGUGCCUACAAACUAUAUUCCAGAAGAUACUGUCACAUAUGUGUCUCCCCCCAAGUUCUUUUGUGAGCAAGAGGCCCUCUCAACGUUCAAAUGCUAGUACUGCAACUAGUCCAACUAGUCCACAAAAGCGCACUAAAAAUCCAAUGGUUAAAGUAAUACAGGGCAUUCAUGAGACCUUAAAGAAUAAAUUGUAAAAUUUGUGAGAUGGUCAUGGUUGGUCAACAUUUGGAUGAAUAGAUUAAGGAAGUUCAACAAAUAGCAAUUUGAUGUGGACAAGAGAAGGGUCAGUUUUAUAUUUCAUGGCAACAGAAUUGUUUAAGAAAGUUGAGAAAAUGACAACGUUCAAGGCAUUUGAGACAGAUGAAGGAAGAAUUAUGGUUGAAGUGUCAUUUGGUAAUGCAUGCUACAUUUAGUAGAUAUUUAAUAAGCUAUUGUUAUGAGCUUUUAAUUAUGAUAGUCAUUAUGUUAUGAGCUGGUGAACAUGAACAUUAUUACAUUAUCGCCAUCAACUAUGUUAUGAGACCUUGUUAUUUUAUU